UUAUAUGCAUUUAAAAUAUUUUCAGAAAGUUUAGAAAAUUUUAUAGAUGCUGGAAAUUCAGAAAGUUAGUAUUUUAAGGUUUUUAAUGAUUUUUAAUCACUAGAAUAGUUGUACUAUACUAGGGAUUAAAAAUAACGAGAGUUUAAAUUAUAAAAACGAUUUUUAGAGACGUUUAAAAAGGUUUGGGGACAUUUUAAAGUUGCUGUAUUUUUUUUAGUUCAAGUAUUUACUUGAUUAUUUUAUUGUUGUAGGCGGAGAAUUUAUAGUAGGGGACUUUUAGAACAUAAAAGUGGCCUACCGUUGCGUUUAUACAAGAGUCAAGAAAGCAUUGACAUUACAGGUUCGAAGAUGCAUACCAUUGGGGAAUCUGGAUUGGAGAGGCUUUUGUGACAUUAGUAGUAUUUAAGUUGUUUCUAGGAAUUUAUAUUUUCAGACUUUAGCUUUAAGUUGGUGUGUUUCAGUUCAAACAUUGUUUGGUUUUUAUUUCAUAAGUUAAUAAAGUUGAUUUUAUUUUA